CAGUCGAGCGGAUGAGUGGAGCUUGCUCCAUGAUUCAGCGGCGGACGGGUGAGUAAUGCCUAGGAAUCUGCCUGAUAGUGGGGGACAACGUUUCGAAAGGAACGCUAAUACCGCAUACGUCCUACGGGAGAAAGUGGGGGAUCUUCGGACCUCACGCUAUCAGAUGAGCCUAGGUCGGAUUAGCUAGUUGGUGAGGUAAAGGCUCACCAAGGCGACGAUCCGUAACUGGUCUGAGAGGAUGAUCAGUCACACUGGAACUGAGACACGGUCCAGACUCCUACGGGAGGCAGCAGUGGGGAAUAUUGGACAAUGGGCGAAAGCCUGAUCCAGCCAUGCCGCGUGUGUGAAGAAGGUCUUCGGAUUGUAAAGCACUUUAAGUUGGGAGGAAGGGCAGUAAGUUAAUACCUUGCUGUUUUGACGUUACCGACAGAAUAAGCACCGGCUAACUUCGUGCCGGCCGC
rnacentral:rRNA from 1 species